CACGUAGGGGGCAAGCGUUGUCCGGAUUUAUUGGGCGUAAAGAGCUCGUAGGCGGCUCAGUUAGUCGGGUGUGAAACCCCCGGGCUCAACCCGGGGACGCCACCCGAUACUGCUGUGGCUAGAGUCCGGAAGAGGAGAGUGGAAUUCCUGGUGUAGCGGUGAAAUGCGCAGAUAUCAGGAAGAACACCCGUGGCGAAGGCGGCUCUCUGGGACGGUACUGACGCUGAGACGCGAAAGCGUGGGGAGCGAACAGG
rnacentral:rRNA from 1 species